rnacentral:rRNA from 1 species
AGAGUUUGCCCCUGGCUCAGGAUGAACGCUGGCGGCGUGCCUAACACAUGCAAGUCGAACGGGUGUACGGGAUGGAAGGCUCCGGCCGGAAGCCCCGUGCAUGAGUGGCGGACGGGUGAGUAACGCGUGGGCAACCUGCCCUGUACAGGGGGACAACACUUAGAAAUAGGUGCUAAUACCGCAUAACGGGGGGAGCCGCAUGGCACCCCCCUGAAAACUCCGGUGGUACAGGAUGGGCCCGCGUCUGAUUAGCUUGUUGGCAGGGUAACGGCCUACCAAGGCGACGAUCAGUAGCCGGCCUGAGAGGGCGGACGGCCACACUGGGACUGAGACACGGCCCAGACUCCUACGGGAGGCAGCAGUGGGGGAUAUUGCACAAUGGGGGGAACCCUGAUGCAGCGACGCCGCGUGGGUGAAGGAGCGUUUCGGCGCGUAAAGCCCUAUCGGCAGGGAAGAUCCAAGACGGUACCUGCAGAAGAAGCUCCGGCUAACUACGUGCCAGCAGCCGCGGUAAUACGUAGGGGGCGAGCGUUAUCCGGAUUCAUUGGGCGUAAAGCGCGCGUAGGCGGCCGCCUAAGCGGGACCUCUAACCCCGGGGCUCAACCCCGGGUCGGGUCCCGGACUGGGCGGCUCGAGUGCGGUAGAGGAGAGCGGAAUUCCCGGUGUAGCGGUGGAAUGCGCAGAUAUCGGGAAGAACACCGAUGGCGAAGGCAGCUCUCUGGGCCGUCACUGACGCUGAGGCGCGAAAGCUGGGGGAGCGAACAGGAUUAGAUACCCUGGUAGUCCCAGCCGUAGACGAUGGGCGCUAGGUGUGGGGGGACGAUCCCUCCGUGCCGCAGCCAACGCAUUAAGCGCCCCGCCUGGGGAGUACGGCCGCAAGGCUAAAACUCAAAGGAAUGGGCGGGGGCCCGCACAAGCAGCGGAGCAUGUGGCUUAAUUCGAAGCAACGCGAAGAACCUUACCAGGGCUUGACAUGCCGAUGAAGCCGGGGAGACCCGGUGGCCGAGAGGAGUCGGCGCAGGUGGUGCAUGGCUGUCGUCAGCUCGUGUCGUGAGAUGUUGGGUUAAGUCCCGCAACGAGCGCAACCCCCGCCCCGUGUUGCCAGCAUUCAGUUGGGGACUCGCGGGGGACUGCCGGCGUCAAGCCGGAGGAAGGUGGGGACGACGUCAAGUCAUCAUGCCCCUUAUGCCGUGGGCUGCACACGUGCUACAAUGGCCGGUACAGAGGGUUGCCACCCCGCGAGGGGGAGCGGAUCCCGGAAAGCCGGUCCCAGUUCGGAUCGCAGGCUGCAACCCGCCUGCGUGAAGCCGGAGUUGCUAGUAAUCGCGGAUCAGCACGCCGCGGUGAAUACGUUCCCGGGCCUUGCACUCACCGCCCGUCA